rnacentral:lncRNA from 1 species
GCGCUGUAUUAUUCGAGUUAACGGCAGAAAAGAGAAUAAUAACAUGAGCAAAAGGACGGGUGCCACAUGUGGAGCAGGAUCUGGUUACCCUUCCGGAGCACCUGAGAUCACCCCAAGUUUUUGGUGGGGUUCGUGUUGCUUAGUUUUUAAUUUUCUAUGUUGUGUCUUCUGUACUAUUAUUUGUCUGUUUUUUAUUUUUUAUUUUAAGCCAUGGCGUUGUCAGUUUAUUUUCUAUAUAUGAGCUUGAUUCUCCCCCUGGUAUCUUUCGUCCCUCUUUUCUCUCCUCUUUCAUCAGUUAUAUAAAAAAGGAAAUGUGGUUUCAUUGUCAAUGAGACAUGCUUUAAAAAAAAAUAAACUUUAACUACAAAUCAAUAAUUUCAAAUUAAAUUUUAA